CGUAGGGGGCAAGCGUUGUCCGGAUUUAUUGGGCGUAAAGCGCUCGCAGGUGGUUCGUUGCGUCGUGCGUGAAAGACCCCGGCUCAACUGGGGGGUGUCGUGCGAUACGGGCGAACUGGAGGCCAGUAGGGGGAUGCGGGAUUCCGGGUGUAGUGGUGGAAUGCGUAGAGAUCCGGAGGAACACCAGCGGCGAAGGCGGCAUCCUGGACUGGUCCUGACACUCAGGAGCGAAAGCGUGGGGAGCGAUCCGGAUUAGAUACCCGGGUAGUCCACGCUGUAAACGAUGAGUACUAGGUGUCGGGGGUAUCGACCCCCUCGGUGCCGCAGCUAACGCGAUAAGUACUCCGCCUGGGGACUACGGCCGCAAGGCUA
rnacentral:rRNA from 1 species